CGUGUAGGCGGUUUGUUAAGUCUGAUGUGAAAGCCCCGGGCUCAACCUGGGAAGUGCAUUGGAAACUGGCAGACUUGAAUACGGGAGAGGGUAGUGGAAUUCCUAGUGUAGGAGUGAAAUCCGUAGAUAUUAGGAGGAACACCGGUGGCGAAGGCGGCUGCCUGGACCGAUAUUGACGCUGAGACGCGAAAGCGUGGGGAGCAAACAGGAUUAGAUACCCUGGUAGUCCACGCCGUAAACGAUGAGUACUAGGUGUUGCGGGUAUUGACCCCUGCAGUGCCGCAGCUAACGCAUUAAGUACUCCGCCUGGGAAGUACGGUCGCAAGACUAAA
rnacentral:rRNA from 1 species